rnacentral:lncRNA from 1 species
CUCGGAUUUGGAUUUGGAUGCCUGUCAAGCCCUCACUCUUCAGACUAAAUGUCUGAUUUGCAUGGAGAAUUAUCAAGAGAAGCAACAAUGCCAAGCAGACUAUUCCAGGUCAAAAUAGUCAAAUUAAUAAUUCAUAAAUUAUUAUAUGUUUUGAAGGUAUUGCAAAAUUAAAGUUGCAAGAACAGUACAGAUAACUUUUUUCCUGAACCAUUUGAGAGUAGGUUGCAGACCUGGUGCCCCAUCAUUUCUGAAUAUUUUAGUGUGCAUUUUCUACAAACAAGGACAUUUUCCAGCAUAACCACAAUGCACCCAUCAAUGUCGUGAAAUUAAUGUUGGUACAUUACUACCACCUAGUCCUCAGACCCUAUUCAAAUUAUACCAGUUAUCAUAAUAGUUUCUUAUAAUUUAUAGCAAAAUGAUCCAAACCAGGAGCAUGCAUUGCAUUUUUAUGAAUUUUUAAAACAAUUAAGUCUGUGUAGUGAGUGAAGCCACAGUGAUAGGAAUAUAUAAAGGCUUUGCAUCUAGAAUUUGUUCUGAAAACCCUGAGAUUCAAGUAGUACAUUAUUUCAUUUACUAUUUUACACAGAGAAGCCCUCAUUUUUAAGAGUUUGCCUUUCUGAUUUCCACCGGAAAUGAUACUAUCAGUAUCAUACUCAGAAUCUUAAUUACAUACAAGGCACUAACCUCUCACCUGUUUUCAGCUUUGUGUAAAGACAAGGGAUCAAAACAUCCCUUUCUGCUAUUUCAUACUUAAGUGUGGGAGCUGAUCCAAAGGAAGAAUAGUUUCAAAAGUUUGUAGCAAAAAAAAUUUAAAAGGUGAAGAUUUUUUCCUUGAAUGAUUCUCACCUGGCAGAUCUAUGGAAAGAUUAGCUGACUCUUUGGAUCCCUGAAUAUAGUUAAUAGAAAUUUGGAAGGACCAUGUCAAAAUUAACUAAUGUGAACUGACAAAGAUUUGGUGUUCAAAGCAAAAAUUAAACUUUGGAAAAGUGAGCAAGUACUUAAUCAGAAACAAAAAAAAAAAAAAGAAAGGAAAAGUUAGGUGAAAAUGGUUUCCAGGUGUUGUUGCUGUUAUAGUUUGAAUCAUAAAAGUUGUUAAAAGUCUGCUGUAACAAACCAUCAUAGACUGGGUGACUUAUAAAGAACAAAAAUGUAUUUCUCACAGUUCCAGAGGCUGGGAAGUCUAAGAUCAAGGCAUCAGCAGAUUCAGUGUCUGGUGAGGGCCCACUUUCUGGUUCAUAGAUGGCACCUUCUCACUGUCUCCCCACGUGAUGGAAGGGGCAAGAGGUCUCUCUUGGUACUCUUUUAUUAAGGGCACUAAUCCCAUCCAUGGGGCUCCACCUUCAUGACCUAUUCAUCUCCCAGAGGCCCUACCUGCAGAUACCAUCGUAUGGGGGAUUUGAUUUCAGCCUGUGAAUUUGGGGGAAGCGGGACAAACAUUCGUUUUGUAGCAAAAGGAGUAGAGUAAUAUCUGCCAAUAACUGGAGGAAAGAAUUGUUCUUUUAAAACUAUUAAAUUGUUUAAUGGGAUUUAAAUGAUUUCAGGAAUGAAAUGGAAAUCCUGGUAAUGGGUAGAAACAUAGGUAAAUUCUCCUUUUCCACUUACCACCACCUGUGUGAACAACAAUCAUUUCUCAUUAAUAGUCAAGAAUUUGAAGAGAUCAUGAGUAAAAAGUCUUGAUCAGAAAUUGUGUAUAGCUGUUUCCAGCAUAAAACCUUAUAUAAAAUGCAUAUUCAUAGAAGAUGCUCAAGUAUGUCAUGAAAAAUAUGAAGUUUAUUUAAAUAUUUAUACAAAUUAAAGAUUUACUGUAUUCUCUAACAG